rnacentral:pre_miRNA from 1 species
GAUUUCAACUGAAAAAGUCAUCAACAUCAAAAUUGUAUAACUCAUCCAUGUCUAUAACUUUUAUUUGGGUCAUUUCUUCAUUCGGUAAAAUAAUAGUAACAUUGUUCACAAAAUUUACAUAUCUUUCUUAUAGUUUAUAAACUAUAUAAGAAUGAUAUUUACGUUUUGUGAGCAAUGUUAUAAAUCGCUUUGUCGAAUGAAGAAAUGACCCAAAUAAAUGUUAUAGAUCUUGAUGAGUUAUACAAGUUUGAUGUUGAUGACUUUUUCAGUUGAAAUC